UACAAUCCCUCCUCCUUCAAAUCGACCUUGUCCUCAAGGUUAACUCUAUGAAACAAACUACGGAAAUUGGCUAUGAAUGUAACUCCAAUCUUCCCAUGUUGCUUCCUCAGCACUAAGAUUAGCCCAAUGCACUAACACUUGCACUGCUGCAGUAUUGUUUGCAUGCAUCAUUCAUCGACGAAUUACUGCGAGGGGUUCCACCAUAACCCGACUAGUACUGUCACAAACUGGUGGUUGCUACUGCAAGGUGAUGUCUGUACCUACCCAACGUUUAAGCUGGGACACGUGGAAGACUGGGUGCACUUGAGGCCAUGGUGAAAGAUGCAAAUGGUAAGCCACUGACCCUAUCUUUUCCAGUACUUCGUAGGGCCUAUAAUAUUUUGCACAUAACUUGAGAUUGUGCCUCACUUUCACUGAGGAUUGACGAUACGGUUGCAGUUUUAAAUAGACCUUGUCACCCACCUGUAGAGUCUUUUUUGACCUAUUGUGAUCCGCAUAAAACUUUAUUCUUGACUGGGACAACAGUAGAUUAUCCCACAAAUAUUGUAAUAUUUGUUGCGUGUGGACAAUACAUGCUCCAGCUGGUGUCUGGGUUGAGUAGCCUAGUGAACCCAAGGGAACCUGAGAUGGUUUGAUACCAUAGAGGGCUUCAAAUGGUGUGGACUUGAGUGACUGGUGGUAGUUGGUAUUAUACCAAAAUUCAGUGAGAUACAACCAUUUACUCCACUCCUUAGGAUUAUUAAAUACCAUAGCUCUCAAGUAAGUCUCCAAGCAUUUGUUGAGCCGUUUAAUCUGCCCGUCCGAUUGGGGAUGAUAAGCUGAGGCCAGAUUGAGUGUAGUUCCCAAGGAUUUAAACAACUGUCUCCAAAAUAAACUAGUAAGACAGAGUCUCGAUCAGUCACAAUGGACUUUGGAAGGCCAUGUAACCUAUAAAUUUCCCUUAGAAACACUUCAGCUAUAGUCUGUGCUGUGUAAGGUAUUUUAGGGCAAUAAAAUGACCAUAUUUAGUCAAUCUGUCCACCACUACCAAAAUAGAAUUCUUGUGAUGAGAAUCGGGCAACCCUUCAAUGAAAUCCAUCCCAAUAUCAUGUCAUGGCUUCUCAGGGAUGGGUAGUGGUUAUAGAAGACCUAGGUAGUGCACAUUUUCUGAUUUAAUUCUCUGGCAGACAUCACAUUCACUCACCCACUAAAAUAUGUCUUUCUUCAUAUUAGGCCAAUAAAAUAUCAUCUUUAUUCUUUUGUAGGUGGCCUGCUGACCAGAGUGACCCCCCCAUUGGAGAAAGAUGAAGUGCUUGGCAUACCUUGCUUCUCAGGUCAGUUCCUUUUCCAAGGAAUAUCUUCUGAUCAUAUCUGAUUACUCUUUGAUGGAGUGUAUAUCUUCCCAUAUUAGUGGGGUUGGUGAUCAACUCAGUAAUUAAUUGUAAGGCCUUGACGUCAUGCUCAUAGCAAAGAAUCACCUUCUGCAUCCAAGUAGGUUCUAAGCUGGUCAUAGCUGUUACACUGGCUUCAUUCUCCAACCUCCUAGAUAAUGUAUCAGCCACCCUAUUUUCUGUUCCUUUCUUAUAUUGAACCUCAUAAUCUAGGCCGAGCAACUUAGUUAGUCCUUUUUAUUGUAAGGCAGUAGUAAUUUUCUACUCAAGCAAAUAUUUGAGGCUGUGAUGGUCAGUUCUAAUGAUGAAAUGCCCUACCAUCAGAUAGUGUCUCCACCUAUCAACAGCAGAUAGUACUGCCAAGUACUCUUUUUCAUAUGUAGAAAGCCCCCAGUUCUUAGGAGCUAUAGUUUUGCUAAAAUAUGUUAUAGGUCUGCCAUCCUGCAUCAAAACUGCCCCUAUCCCUUUAGUACAUGCAUCAGUUUCCACAAUGAAAGAUUUAGUAAAAUCAGCUAGGCUCAAUACAGGGGUUGUAUUCAUAGCAUCUUUCAAUUUUUGAAAUACAAUAGUGGAUUCUGAACCCCAACUAAAAGUAUUCUUCUUCAAUAAGGUAGUUAAAGGCUUGCUAAUCCAUCCAUAUUUUUUGAUGAAUCUCCUAUAAUAGCCCAUGAGCCCUAAGAAGCCCAUCAAUGACUUGAGUGUUUUUGGCAUUGGCCAAUUCACCAUAGCUUCUAUCUUGGUCGGAUCAGUUUUAACACCUUUUCCAGUGAUAAUGUGUCCCAAGUAUUCUAUCUUGUCUUGACUAAAAGAAUAUUUUGAUUUCUUUGCAUAUAGUUGUUCUUUCCUUAGGACAUCCAGUACUUGUUAAAGAUGAACCACAUGCUCUUGAAUAGUACUAUACAUAAGAAUAUCAUCAAAGAAUACCAAAACAAACUGCCUCAAAUAGUCUUUGAACACAUGGUUCAUGAGACUUUGGAAGGUAAGGGCAUUGGUCAGUCCAAAGGGCAUGACCUUGAAUUCAUAAUGUCCCAAGUGUGUUCUAAAAGUUGUCUUAUGAAUGUCUGGCUCAUUCAUUCUAAUCUGAUGAUAGCCAGCCUGCAAAUCUAUUUUUGAAAACACCACUGCCCCAUGUAGUUAAUCUAAUAGUUCAUCAACCAAGGGAAUGGAAAAUUUAUCCUUCACAGUCAUUUUAUUUAGUUCCCUGUAGUCCAUACAAAAUCUCCAGGUUCCAUCUUUCUUCUUAACUAAUAACACUGGGGAGGAAAAGAGGGAGUGGCUGGGCUGGAUAAUGCCAUGCUUCAACAUCUCUUUUGAUCUAACUUUUAAUUUCAUUUUUUUGAAAAUAGUUAUAUCUGUAAGGUCUUAUACUUACAGGAAUACUUUCAGGUUGUAGGGGAAUAAAGUGAUCAUGUUGUCUUCGAGAUGGCAAAGUGUAACACCUCAAAAAAUUUUGAAUCUAAGUUAAUAUUGUUAGAAGGGUAUAACAUUAAGUUUAUGAAGAAUAAUAUAAGUAUAGUUAUUUAUAUUAAUGAAUGGCCCUUUUUUAUAUUUUCUUUUAUGUAUUUGGUAAUAUUAGGGGCAUGUGGGGGCCACCUUUAAUUAUUUUCAUAAUUAGAUUAAAGAGAAGGAAAAAGAAAAUGAAUUAGGGACUUACUUUGUCAAUCCGUCACUGGAAACAUUUCUAGGAAAACAAGGAAACAAGCGGUGUUGCCUUGUUUCUUUAACUACUAUAUUUCUUUCCUUCUCCAUUUCUUCUGUUCUUCCUCUCUUUCUUCUCUAUGAACGAGCAAAUUAAUUUAGGGUAUCAAGAAGGGAUUAUACGUGGAGGAAAAAGUAUUUAUGUUCUUUGAAUCAUAAGUUAAAGAAUUUUGUGACAGCCCCAAAGGACUUCAAGAACUAGUUCAUAUAGUCUAUAGUUGGAAUUUGAGUUCCAAGAGGUAAAUUCUCUACUGUUUAUUUUGAAUAUAAUUAUAUAUUAGUAUUUGGGAAUAUUUGAUUUGAAUUUUUGGCACUAGUAUUUGAAAUGGGUUCAUGAGAAGAAAAAGGAAAAAAAAAAAAAAGGAGAAGAUUUUGGUGAAAGAAGGGGUUUUAGGGUUUCCUAUCAAUUGUGUGGAUUUAUCGUGAAUUGUAUAAAUUGGAAAUGGAAGAAUUCCUUUCGGAUUAUCGUUAAGAAAUUCAAUUGAAUUCAGGUAUAAUUGAUGAAUAUGGAAUUAAAUUGUUAAAUGUUCCUACGAAUUAGUAAAGGACGCAUAUGUUAUACUUGCAGUUAUUAAGUUGCCUUUUGAUAGCGGAACUUAGUGGUUGGAAAUACAAAAGCUAUACUCCCGUGGGUAGUGUCAUUUGGGGACCCGAAAUACUAUCCUACCUAGUUAAGCACUAAGGUAUGUAAAGUUAAACCCUCCCCCACCGCUAAGGCACCACCCUACGUCACAUGUUUCUCCCUGUUGAUGUUAAUAUAACUCUCGAAAAGAGAGAAGAAUCUUUAUAUUGCCUUACAUAUCAUUCCUUCGUUCUACCAUCAAUUUUAUAAGUAUCUACCUUUUUCUCUUUAUGUUAAGCUUCUAUGAUACUUUCAUACUAUCAUAAGUUUCCCUACCUGAACCCCUUAGGCCUCAGUAUAUGUAUAUAUAUCACACGUUAGGAUUAAAAAGGUAAACGGUGACAGUAUAGUUGCAUUUGUAUCUACUAGCCAAAUGAUCAUUAUCGUAACUCACAUGUCAUAGGCCUUCAAGGCAUUAUUUGAUAAACAUUAAUAACGGAAGGGUAUAUAGGUUUGGCUUGGUAUAUCGCUCGACGUUAUUCUGUGCAAAGGAUCGAGAUCAAACCACUAUAGAGAGCCCAAUCAUUGGGCGUACCCACCUUUGUGGCAUCAUUUUUAUUGGAAGUCAGUUGGAACGUCAUUUAUUGGUUUCCCCUGACUCGAGCCAACAUAUGACAUAUAUGGCCUACGGGCAGACCCUCAUAGUAAGCCCCUGGGUGGGGCGUACCUGGAUAUAGACUGCGAUUACAGUUACUCGUAUGAUAUCAUAGCAAUAAGUAUGAGAGCAACAUAUGCUUUAUACUUGCCUCAGAUCACCUUCGGAAGGCCAUCUUGUGAUCAUGUAUGCGACUUGUAGGAUAAGAGCAUCACCUAGGCAAAGUGUAGGCCCUAAAUUAUAGUGAAUGUUUUUUUUCAAAACAUUGUAUAAGAUGCUAAUAAGGUCGGUACAUAAGUUAUCAGUCCAUAUCAUAUAUGUGUUACUUGUUGGCUCAUACACUUGUUAUUUUAUCAUUUGACUCAUAUGAGCUUCUGUACUUGACCAGCUGUUAUUCUGUCUACUUUCAUACCAGUACAUGUUAUUUAUGUACUGACGUUAUGGGCCCACCAUGUUUUACUAAUGUAGGCUCAGGUCCUCAAAAUUAUAGACGUCCACCUUAGUAUCUAUUGCCGUUAUCAGCUGAUAUUUUGGUGAGCUCCAACUCUCUCUGGAGCUAGUCUAUGCACAGUAUUUAAUUACAUGUACAGAUCCCUAGUUGGGCAUGAUGGGCCCUAUGCCAACUAGUCAUUUGUAGUAUAGCGUGGUAAAUUAGCUAGAGGCUUCAUGGACAUCGUGUAGUAGUGUAUUAUAUAGUCUUGUUAAUAUAACUUUCUCAUUUAUAUAUACAACACUUAUCGAAUAUCUUGCCCUUUAUUAUCUUAUAACCUCACGUACGUCGUAAUGUGCUUGUAGAGUAAGUGUAUAGGGUUCCUGUCCGUCAUUAUCAUUUUGGGGCGUGACAAACUUGGUAUCAGAGCGCCUAGGUUCAAGUGUCCUCAGAAGUCUAUGAAGCCGUGUCUAGUAGGACCUUACUUAUCGAUGUCUUGUGCUCCACUUUGAUAAUUAAGGGAUUACGUGGGCAUUUAGGAAUUUGACCUUUAUAUAUAAUCUAGAUCGUGCAAUAGAGUUAAGUUGUAGAAAGUUACUUCUGACCCCUAUUCUGCUUAUUUGUGAUACAGACCAUGUCUGCUGCAGAAAAGGAUAAAGCAGCCCAGCAGGCUGCUACUAGCACUACUCAGGAGGCAGCCAUUAUCGGGCCAUCUCCCGUAUUGGUGGAUCUGAAUAGGACUCAAGAAAGUUCGUUGGGUUCUAUGUUUUCAGGUUCUCAAAUGCCCGAAAGAAAAAGACCUAUAGGGUUUUUUAUACCUCUAGAGGUACCAACGGUAGCUCCUAUCCCCCCAUCAGGUGCCUCAGACCCAGAUAUAAAGGGAGCGAUACAGUUGCUUACACAGUUGGUUGCUGCUCAGGCCCAAAGACAGAAUGUGGACAUACCCGUUGCUACUCAGGAAGGGAUAGCCAAAUCUAGGAUCAAAGAUUUUCUCCGUAUGAAUCCACCAGAAUUCACAGGUUCCAAGCUUACAGAGGACCCUCAAUAUUUCAUUGAUGAGACUCAUAGAAUUUGUAAGGUGAUGUGGGUCCCGAAUACAGAUGCAGUUGAAUUGGACGCCCAUCGACUGAAAGAUAUUAUUGUUGACUGGUAUGAGAUAUGGGUUGAUUUGAGAGGUCAGGAAGCUCCUCCAGCGGUCUGGACAGAAUUUGCAGAAGUUUUUAUGGACCACUUCAUGCCAUUAGAGCUCAGAGAGGCAAAAAUAGAUGAAUUUCUUUCUUUAAAGCAGGGUAAUCUUAGUGUUAAGGAGUAUUAUUUGCAGUUUACUCAGUUGUCCAAAUAUGCUCCAGAGGUGGUUAACACAUAAGCAAAACAGAUUCAUCGCUUUAUGAAUGGCCUUACGAGUCCCUUAAAGGACCUUUUUUCUGUUGCUAUUAUGAAUAGGGAUUUGGAUAUAGCAAGGAUCAUGGCACGUGCUCAGCAGAUAGAGGAAGAUCAGCGAAAUCGUGAAAGAGAUAGCGAGAGAGGGUAGAGUAAGAGAGUUAGGACGGCUAACCAGUAUCAGGGAAGCAGUGGAGCUUCCACUAGUAGAAGGCCACUUAGGCAGAUCCAGUCAGUUGUGCGCUCCACAUCUAAUACUCCAACUCAAUUCUUGAGGCACAGGUAUGAGCAAAUUCAGACUUCUAGAGCACCAGACUUACGACCUCAGAGGGGUGUUAGUCGAGGGUUACCACCUUGUUCUACAUGCAGGCAGUGUGGACGACCACAUGGAGAAGAGUGUCGGCGUGGUUCCAGUGCAUGUUACUGGUGUGGUAUAGAGGCUCAUAUGGUAAGUAAUUGUCCACAUCUCAGAGGUAAAGGUAGAAGUGAUCAAUCACAGCCUACAAGGUCUGCAUCAGCUUCAUCUUCAUCAGUGUCUUCUUCUUCUCGAGGUCCUCAGGCAUCAGCAGGCAGAGGAUCAGGUAGGGAUAGAGGGCCUGGUUCGGGCGCAGGCCCAAACUAUAUGUAUGCACUAGCUGGUCGAUAGGAUUCAGAGGCAUCUCCAGAUGUGGUCACAGAUACCUUAACUGUCUUUUCAUAUGAUGUAUAUGCGUUAAUAGACCCAGGUUCUACCUUGUCAUAUGUUACUCCAUUCAUUACUAAGAAGUUCGAAAUUGAGCUAGAGUUGUUACACGAACCAUUUGCAGUAUCAACUCCAGUAGGAGAUUCUGUUAUAGCUAGACGAGUAUAUUAUGAUUGUGUGGUGAUAAUAUGUGGUCGUGCUACAUUGGCUAAUUUGAUUGAACUUAAAAUGGUUGAUUUCGACAUUAUUAUGGGAAUGGAUUGGUUAUCCUCUUGUUACGCCAUAGUUGAUUGUCGAUCCAAGAUAGCUCAUUUUUGUUUCCCAGGAGAGCCAGUCUUAGAGUAGAGGGGUGACUUUAUGGUGCCUAGAGGGAAGUUUAUUUCCUUUCUUAAGGCACAAAAACUUAUUGCAAAGGGGUGUUUGUACCACCUAGUCCAAGUAAAAGACGUUGAGGCUGAGAAGUAGGCACCGACUCUAGAAUCGGUACCAGUGGUGAACGAGUACUCAGAUGUGUUUCCUGAUGAGCUUCCUGGAUUACCUCCUGUUAGGGAAAUCGAUUUUGGUAUUGAUGUGGAUCCCGAUACGCAGCCGAUAUCAAUUUCACCUUAUAGAAUAGCUCCUGUAAAAUUGAAAGAGCUAAAAGAACAGUUAAAGGAUUUACUUAAUAAAGGUUUCAUUCAGCCCAGUAUAUCACCUUGGGGUACGACAAUACUUUUUUUUACGUAACAAAGAUGGCACAUUGCGAAUGUGUAUAGAUUACAGGCAGCUGAACAAAGUAACAAUAAAGAAUAAAUACCCUCUUCCCCGAAUAGAUGAUUUAUUCGAUCAAUUACAGGGAUCUAAAAGCUUUUCAAAGAUCGAUUUGAGGUCCGGUUAUCACCAGUUAAGAAUUCGUGAAGCAGAUAUUCCCAAAAUAGCCUUUCGAAUAAGAUAUGGGUAUUUGAGUUUCUUGUCAUGUCAUUUGGACUAACGAAUGCUCCGGCAGCCUUCAUGGACAUGAUGAACAGGAUUUUCAAACCUUUUCUUGAUAUGUAUGUGAUUGUAUUUAUAGAUGAUAUUUUAAUAUAUUCACAUAAUGAAGUUGAGCAUGCAGAUCAUUUGAGGUCAGUAUUGCAGAUGCUGAGAGAGCACCAGUUGUAUGUUAAGUUCUCUAAGUGUGAGUUUUGGUUGACCUCGAUAGCCUUUCUUGGUCAUGUAGUAUCUGGAGAAGGCAUCAGAGUAGAUUUUCAGAAGAUAGAAGCUGUGAAGAAUUAGCCUCAACCAACCACUCCUACGGAGGUGCGUAGUUUCUUGGGGCUAGCAAGUUAUUAUAGGAGAUUUGUGGAGGGAUUUUCCUCUAUUUCUGCCCCAUUGACCAAAUUGACGCAGAAAACGGUUAAAUACCAGUGGUCAAAUACUUGUGAAAGAAGUUUCCAAGAGCUGAAACAUAGAUUAACCACGGCGCCAGUGUUGGCCUUACCAGAGGGCACAGAAGGAUAUGUGGUGUAUUGUGAUGCUUCAGGUAUUGGUUUGGGUUGCAUUCUAAUGCAGCAUGGAAGAGUUAUAGCGUAUGCUUCUCGACAACUAAAGAAACAUGAACAAAAUUACCCUACUCAUGACUUAGAGCUUGCAGCAGUGGUAUUUGCACUUAAAAUUUGGCGUCAUUAUUUAUAUGGAGUGCAUGUUGAUAUCUUUUCAUAUCAUAAGAGUCUUCAAUAUCUAUUCAAACAGAAAUAGUGGAACUUGAGGAAAAGAAGGUGGUUAGAGUUAUUGAAGGAUUAUGACGUUAAUAUUCUCUAUCAUCCAGGUAAAGGUAACAUUGUGGCUGAUGCUCUUAGUCGACUAUCCAUAGGUAUUCUAGCACAUCUGCUACCUUUUUAGUGGGAAGUAGCAAAAGAUGUUUACAAAUUGGCUAAUCUCAGCGUUCGCCUUUUGGAUUCCGAAGAUGGUGGCGUUGUGGUACUCAAUACAGCCGAGUCGUCACUUGUGACACUGGUUAAAUAGAGACAGUAUGAUGACCCCUUAUUGCUCCAAUACAAAGAGAUGAUUCAACAACAUCAAAUCACGGCAUUUGAACUAGUAGGUGAUGGCACCUUGAGGUGUCGAGGUAGAUUAUGUGUGCCUGAUGUAGAAGUUUGCAUCAACAGAUUAUGGCUGAGGCACAUUGCUCUCGCUAUUCAAUCCAUCCUGGAUCUACAAAAAUGUAUCAUGAUCUUAAAGCGAUCUACUGGUGGAACGAUAUGAAAAAAGAUAUAGCAAAAUAUGUGGCACAGUGCUCCAACUGUCAGCAGGUGAAAGCGGAACAUCAAAGACCCGGUGGCCUAGCUCAAACCUUUAGUAUUCCUUGUGGAAGUGGGAUGCUAUUUAUAUGGAUUUUGUUGUAGGCUUACCUUUGUCUUACCGGAAACAUGACUCUAUUUGGGUAAUAGUUGAUCGACUGACGAAAUCUGCCUAUUUCCUUCCUGUUAAGUCUACCAGCACGGCUGAAGAUUAUGCUAAGUUAUAUGUAAAAGAUAUUAUCCGCCUACAUGGGACCCCGAUAUCUAUUAUUUCAGAUAGAGGUUCCUCAUUUAAAGCUCAAUUUUGGAAAUCAUUCUAUAAGAGCUUGGGUACGCAGGUGAACCUAAGUACGGUAUUUCAUCCUCAAAUAGACGGCCAAGCUGAGCGCACCAUUCAGACGCUCGAAGAUAUGUUGAGAGCAUGUAUGCUAGACUUUAAAGGUAAUUGGGACGAUCAUUUGCCUUUAAUAGAAUUUGCUUAUAAUAACAGUUAUCACUCCAGUAUUGGCAUGGCUCCCUUUGAAGCUCUAUAUAGAAGACGAUGUAGAUCACCUAUUGGUUGGUUUGAAGUAGGCGAGACACAGGUAUUAGGUUCGAAUUUAGUCCAUCAAGCUGUUGAAAAGGCUAAACUGAUACGAGAGCGGUUGAAGGCUGCCCAAAGUAGGCAAAAAUCAUAUACGGAUGUGCGACGUAGAGAUUUAGAGUUUUAUGUUGAUGAUUUUGUGUUCCUAAAGGUGUCGCCGAUGAAGGGCGUUAUGCGAUUCGGUAAAAAGGGUAAAUUGAGUCCCAGGUAUAUUAGGCCCUAUAGAGUUAUUCGCAAAAUUGGCAGGUAGCUUAUGAGCUAGAAUUACCUCUAGAGUUAGCUGCAGUGCACCCUUUCUUUCAUGUGUCUAUGCUAAGUAAAUGGUUAGGAGAGUCGUCUCGCGUUGGGUAUUGAACUUGCUGAAGACUUAUCAUUCAAGGAAUUCCCCGUGGCCAUACUAGAUCGACAGGUCAGGAAGUUAAGAUCUAGAGACAUAGCUUCAGUAAAGGUGUUGUGGAGGAACCAGGACGUAGAAGAAGCCACGUGGGAAGAAAAAGUGGAUAUGAAAACUAAAUACCCUUAUUUAUUUCAAAAAUUAUCAGAAGGUUCUUGAAUUACUUGUCCCUUUAUAUGAUCAUUAGUUUCUACUAUAUUUGUUAUGUUGAUAUCUGAUUCUUAUUUGAUAUGUUUAGGUACAUGAUUUGUGCCUAAAAGCCUUGAUAUUUACAUGGAAAUAGCAUGCACAUGCAGGGUAUAAGGUAAGUUACAUGGUUGGUUAUGACUUUUAAUUGUGUGUAAGGCCAGGGGGGAGCCUUGUGUACUAUUUUUGGAUUUAAGGCCAAGUGGAGCCUCUUAUGUUAUUUGUUGAGUAUUAUAUGUGUGGUGACGCUCUGUGAAGCGUAUUUGGAUGUGUUCUGGCUAGCUGACAGGUACCCGAUAGUCCUAUUUACAAAGGAAACUCUAGCGAAAUUUUUUAGAAAUUAGAGGGUUAGUCAAAUUUUUGACUAUCAUUGACAAAGUAAGACCGAACGUGGUUAAAUGUUAUAAUGAAGGUGUUGGACCAUGGUGGAAUGGAUAACAAGCUAUAAGCAUCAUUCGAGGACGAAUGAUCCUAAGUGGGGGAGAUUGUAACACCUCAAAAAAUUUUGAAUCUAAGUUAAUAUUGUUAGAAGGGUAUAACAUUAAGUUUAUAAAGAAUAAUAUAAGUAUCUUUUUUAUAUUUUCUUUUAUGUAUUUGGUAAUAUUAGGGUCAUGUGGGUGCCACCUUUAAUUAUUUUCAUAAUUAGAUUAAAGAGAAGGAUAAAGAAAAUAAAUUAGGGACUUACUUUGUCAAUCCGUCCUGGAAACACUACCAGGAAAACAAGGAAACAGGUGGUGCUGCCUUGUUUCUUUAACUACUAUAUUUAUUUCCUUCUCCACUUCUUCCGUUCUUCCUCCCUUUCUUCUCUAUCAACGAGCAAAUUAAUUUAGGGUAUCAAGAAGGGAUUAUAUGUGGAGGAAAAAGUAUUCAUGUUCUUUGAAUCAUAAGUUAAAGAAUUUUGUGGCAGCCCUAAAGGACUUCAAGUUUAUAAGUAUCUAUCUUUUCCUCUUUAUGUUAAGUUUCUAUGAUACUUUCAUACUAUCAUAAUUUUCCCUACCUGAACCCCUUAGGCUUCAGUAUAUGUAUAUAUAUCACACGUUAAGAGUAAAAAGGUAAACGGUGAUAGCAUAGUUGCACUUGUAUCUGCUAGCCAAACGAUCAUUAUCGUAACUCACAUGUCAUAGGCCUUAAAGGCAUUAUUUGAUAAACAUUAACAACGGGAGGGUACAUAGGUUUGGCUUGGCAUAUCGCUCGACGUUAUUCUGUGCAAAGGAUCAAGACCAGACCACUAUAGCAAGCCCAAUCAUUGGGGGUACCCGUCUUUGUGGCAUCAUUUGUAUUGGAAGUCGGUUGGAACGUCAUGUAUUGGUUUCCCCUGACUCGAGCCAACAUAUGGCAUAUAUGGUCUGCGGGCAGACCCUCAUAGUGAGCCCCUAGGUGGGGCGUACCUGGAUAUAAACUGCGAUUACAGUUACACGUAUGAUAUCAUAGCAAUGAGUGUGAGAGCAACAUAUGCUUUAUACUUGCCUCAGAUCGCCUUCGGAAGGCCAUCUUAUGAUCAUGUAUGCGACUUGUAGGAUAAGAGCAUAGGCCCUAAAUUAUAGUGAAUGUUUUUUUUAAAAAAACAUUGUAUAAGAUGCUAAUAAGGUCGGUACAUAAGUUAUCGGUACAUAUCAUAUAUGUGUUACUUGUUGGCUCAUACACUUGUUAUUUUAUCAUUUGACUCAUAUGAGCUUCUGUACUUGACCAGAUGUUAUUCUGUCUGAUUUCAUACCAGUACAUAUUGUUUAUGUACUAACAUUACGGUCCCACCAUGUUUUACUAAUGCAGGCUCAGAUCCUCAGAAUAGCAAACGUCCACUUUAGGUUCUAUUACCGUUAUCAGUUGAUAUUUUGGUGAACUCCAACUCUCUCUGGAGCUAGUCUAUGCAUAGUAUUUAAUUACAUGUACAGGUCCCUAGUUGGGCAUGACGGGCCCUAUGCCAACUAGUCACUUGUAGUAUAGCGUGGUAAAUUGGCUAGAGGCUUCAUGGACAUCGUGUAGUAUUGUAUUGUAUAGUCUUGUUAAUAUAACUUCCUUGUUUAUAUAUGCAACACUUAUCGAAUAUCUUGCCCGUUAUUAUCUUAUAACCUCGCGUAUGUCGUAACGUGCUUGUAGAGUAAGUGUGUAGGGUUCCUGUCCGUCAUUAUCAUUUUGAGGCGUGACAUAGAGUGGUUGGUUCCAUAAAAACAUCAGUGUAUUCUUCCAUUGUUGAACUAAAAAUCCCGGGUAAGCUCUUCUGUUCUUUUCCUUCUACUGGUGUAAUGGUGAAAAAAUGACCCCAAAUAAAUUUUCCCUUCUUCAUUAGUUGUUUCAAAGUUCCAGCUAACAUACUUUGCAAUGUAGCUUCAUGGUAAAUACCCCUCAACCUCACCAUUUUUCCUUUGUAUGAGACUUGAGCUUCAUAAGCUAUGAAGUCUAACAGCACCGGAUUGUGAUUUUUUAUCCAAUCACCCCCUAAAAUCAUGUCACAAGCUCCCAAUUUUGCCAAUCUGAUUGAGUCGUCAAACUCUAUUCCUUGAAUUUUCUAUUUGAACAUAGGACAAGAGUGAUAACUCAUAAGGAUACCUCCAUCCGCAACUGUCACUCUCAUUGGAUUAGCAUGUCGUAUGGUACAUCCCAUCUCUUUAGCUGCUGCUAUGUCUAAGAAACUGUGUGUACUCCCUAAAUCUAACAAUAUCAUCAAGUUUUUCUUGCCCACUUCCCCUUGAAGUCGUAUAGUGUUUGGAACUUCCACCCCUGAUAAUGCAUGUAGGCUAAUGGCCUCAUCCACUUCCAGUUCUCCAUUGAAUUCCCCUACUUUCUAUACUUCUUCUGUUACAGGUUCCUCAACUGUCCCUUCUUGUUCUUCAGUAGCUGUUAAAGCAUUUAACUGUUUAUAUUUGCACUGAUUCCCGUAAUAAUACUUAUCCCCACACUUGUAACACAAGCCUUGUGUUCUUCUCGCCUCUAUUAACUUGUUGUUAGUAGAUAUUGUGCCAGAUUGUCCUUCCUUUUAUGCAUUAUUGAUUUGUUUACUGGGAUAUGUGAGGGAUAGAUUGUUAGGCUUGUUCCACUGGAUUUUAUUUCUCUUGCUAGCUGCUUCUAGAACUUUUUCCUGGUGUCGAGCCUUAUCUACAGCUUGACUAAAGGAAAAAAGGUUAAGCAUUUUCACGGUAUGUUUAGUAUCUUCCUUUAGUCCUUCAAUGAAGAAUCCCAGGAAAAACUCCUCUGGUAUGGUAGGAUUUCUUAUCAAUACCCAAGCCUUCAAAUCCUCAAACCUCUCCAGAUAUUCAUUGACAGUGGUCCGUUGCUCUAUCUUCUUGAACUCUCCCAGCAAAUUUAAUGCACUAUUAGCUGCAUCCGCAAAUCGUUUACAAAUUUCGUCUACAAACUCCGGCCAUCUAACAGUUCCUCGACUCAAUUGAUAAGAGAAAUACCAAGCUUCUGCUCUUCCACUAAGAUGUAACACCGCCAUUUCCAAUUUUUCUUUCGGCAUCUCGACUCGAUGGUAGUGAAAAUACCUCACACUUGUGCAACCAUGCUUGUGGAUCACCAUCUUCGAAAUAGGGAAAUUCAACUUUGUGAUUAAAAUUGUGCGUUUGGUGUUGUCUUACUCCAGGUACUUCAUGAUGUUCCAUGUUCCCAUGCCGUCCAACUGAACCACUAGCUUGAGCUACUCCAGGCGGUGCUCUCAAAAUUUCGUCUCUCGCUGGAAUUAACCUCUCCAUCAUAACAUCCAAUUUCCUACCAAGGUCAUCAAUUUUGGCAUCUGUAGCUUCCGCCGUCUGAUUUGCUGCUGAUACAUGGGCCGUGAAUUGAGAUUCCAGCUUUCUGAUGUUCUCCUCCAACGUUUUUGAUCGUGUUUCUGCCAUUGGCAUUUAUAGGGCUAGGACGUGGCUCUGAUACCAAUUUGUAAUGUCCAAAAAUACGAAUCGAUUGUAACGAAUUGGGGAAUAUUAUUGAUAGUCAACUAUUGUGAAUUUUACAAUUUCAACUGAAAGAAUACAACGAAAUUGUAACUACGCAUUCAUCUAUUCCGCCAUUGAUGGUACUUGAACCUUCAACUAAGUUCCUGUAAGAGAAAUUAGAGUGAGGAUCGGGAAAGGUAAGGUGAGUUUCUGAGAAUGGUUUAUACCGAUAAUGAUCUAACUCCAAUUGGGAUAUUUAGUGAAUUGGAGAUGAAUCUUCUAGAAUUUUUGAUCUGCACCAUUGGAUCACGAAAUGAUCUUCAAAUCCCAACUAUUUGUUUUAUUCUCUUGGGCAGCCCCACUAGUGACGUGGCUGCUUCUACUACACAGGUGCCUUUCACUUUACUCUUAUUCCCCAAAUCAUCAACCAAAAUUAUAUACAACCCCCAGACAUUACACAAAGCUGGUUGUUCUGGUGGUGCAAUUGUCUGUGCAGUGGUUGAUCUCAGUCAUAUUCCAUGAAACAAGUUUAAGCUAUAAAUUGUAGUCUUUGUAAAAAAUAGAAUAGAUCAGUUGAAAACUUUUAAGUGUUUGGCUCAGUUCAAGUAUAAGAAUUGGUUUAUAAAAGUAAAGAACUUAAAGUGACAGGUGUAUAGCAAUUUUAAUCGUGACUUGAUUUGUCCACUUUAAAUUGUAAUCUCUUAUUUGGUGACAGGUUGCAGAUGUUUCUAUCAAUAACUUAACACGGUUAAUUGCUUAUUUUGCAUCAUAUGUGAUGGAUAUCAUGAUUUUUUGAGGUCUGGUUGUCGGGUCGGAUGUGGUUUUACGCGUACAAGAGACGCGUUUGAAUGUUCAAGUGACCGGGUCGAGUGUGGUUUUAAGUUGGAUCGGGUUUGAUUUUAUUUUGGGUUGGAUUUGUGAUGAAUUUAGCUGAAUUUAAUUUUAAAAAAAGUUAGCAAAUAGAAAAUCGAUACGUGUCUUUUCGUUAGUGAUAAGGGUAUAUUUGUACCUUUUCAUUAACGGCGAGGGUAUAUAUGUACCUAAAGUAUAACGAGGAAUAUAUCUUUACCAUUUAUCAAAAUUCGGGUAUAUUCAUACCUUUUCCGUAUGUAGAAAAUGAGACUGCUGCCUCUGUUAUGCAGAUGUACCUGAAACUGUCGAGCAUCUUUUUGUUGAGUGUCAAUGGGUGUCUGAGAUGAGGAAUACCCUGGCGUCUUAGGCUGGGAUUGCAUUUCCAAAGCAAGCUGCCAGGCAAAGUCUACAAU
rnacentral:lncRNA from 1 species